rnacentral:misc_RNA from 1 species
CUCCUCUCUUCCCAUGAAGAACUUCACCUAAGCUUCCAUGUGACAUAUACUCGUAGACUAAUAGAUUUGUCUCUUUAUUGGAACAAAAUCCCAGCAAUCUCACAAUGUUCCUGUGUCUAAUUCUGNNNNNNNNNNNAUUUCUGCUGAGAGACCAUUGUCAUGAGAUGACCCUUUGCUUAUUCCCAUCAAUUUCUUCACUGCUACUUGUUCUCCAUUUGGCAUUAUCCCUUUAUACACAAUCCCAGCUCCUCCUCUACCUAUGAUGUUGUUUUCCUUGACACAUUCUAGUAUGUCUUCACAUCCGAAUUCCAGCUUU